rnacentral:rRNA from 1 species
CAAUAGCGUAUAUUAAAGUUGUUGCAGUUAAAAAGCUCGUAGUUGGAUUUCUGGUAGGAGUGACCGUUCCGAACUUGAUUGUUCGUGUAUUGUGUUUUCUCCAGCCAUCCUUGUGGAGAACUUUUCUUGCAUUAAUUUGUAGGGAUUGGGACCCGCAUCGUUUACUGUGAAAAAAUUAGAGUGUUUAAAGCAGGCAAUCGCUUGAAUACAUUAGCAUGGAAUAAUAAGAUAGGACUUUGGUACUAUUUUGUUGGUUUGCAUACCAAAUUAAUGAUCAACAGGAACAGUUUGAGGAUAUUCGUAUGAACAUGUCAGAGGUGAAAUUCUUGGAUUUUGAUCAGACGAACUACUGCGAAAGCAUUUAUCAAGGAUGUUUCCAUUAA